AUUAAGAGCUCAGGCCUCCAGCUGAGGGACUGCAGAUGUUGGGAAGCCUCUGAUUAGGGCCCUGAACCAAGUUCCUUUUCGCAUCUGCAGACUCAUGGAGGCAACCACUCAAGGUCACUCUGAGAAGGGUUGAACGUGCUUUAUUAAAAGGACUGAGGAUCAUGUGUGUUGGUGUGUCCCGGAGUCUGCUCUAAGGCCCUGUGGCUGCCUGGUGCCCUGGGAAUGGUCCGGUCAUGGGCCUCAGCCCAGGAUGAGCAGCCAACAAUGCAAUCCCACGAAGAGUGUGCGGAAGGGAGAGGUUACUUCUCAAGAUGGAGCUGCCAAAUAGGGACACUUUGGAGAGUCUGGCCUGAGAACUUUUAGUUUCAAGAAUGUAUUGCUUUGGAAAAGACAGAAUAAAAGUCCAAGCACUGCCACUUA
rnacentral:lncRNA from 10 species